CGCCGACCGAGACAUCACUGACUGACCGAUUUGGGUGUUUUGAGAGUGCCGGGGUAAGCGCCGCGGCCUUCUUCUCCAGCCUUAUCUUUCGCUUCGGCAGCUACGCCUCCUCACCUCAGGCUCCGGUCUUUUUCAGGUCGGUAAUUCUCGUGCGCUUCCGUGCUGCGCCCUGUGAGUGAAUUGCCAGCGACGUCCUGCCUGCCUGCUGACCGACUGGCCGACUGCGCCGGCAAAAUGAAACUCUCCCUGGUGGCGGCGGUGCUGCUG
rnacentral:other from 1 species